GACGAACGCUGGCGGCGUGCUUAACACAUGCAAGUCGAACGGAAAGGCCCUGCUUUUGUGGGGUGCUCGAGUGGCGAACGGGUGAGUAACACGUGAGUAACCUGCCCUUGACUUUGGGAUAGCUUCAGGAAACUGGGGCUAAUACCGGAUAGGAGCUCCUGCUGCAUGGUGGGGGUUGGAAAGUUUCGGCGGUUGAGGAUGGACUCGCGGCUUAUCAGCUUGUUGGUGGGGUAGUGGCUUACCAAGGCUUUGACGGGUAGCCGGCCUGAGAGGGUGACCGGCCACAUUGGGACCGAGAUACGGCCCAGACUCCUACGGGAGGCAGCAGUGGGGAAUAUUGCACAAUGGGCGGAAGCCUGAUGCAGCAACGCCGCGUGCGGGAUGACGGCCUUCGGGUUGUAAACCGCUUUCGCCUGUGACGAAGCGUGAGUGACGGUAAUGGGUAAAGAAGCACCGGCUAACUACGUG
rnacentral:rRNA from 1 species